AGGAGGAGCAGUGGGGAACCGCCGAGUGGAGUGCGUCUAGCUGCCUCGGCCAGCAGUAGCGGCAGCAGCGGGAACUGCGGAGGAUCUCUGUGCCGGGAAGACUGGGAAAGAUCAAAGGGGCCGAGCAGGGGAGCCUAGCACACUACACCAGGCUCAGGGAAUUGGAGACCCUGUUCGGAGACGGAAGACCACGUGAGAACGCAGCGGGAAUCAACAGCAUCCAUCAUGGAACGCGCAGGGCAUCAAGAGAGGUAGCCCUGAAGGCAGAGCAUCACCAGACCCUCCAGCUCUGGCUAGAGCCCAAGGUGCUGGUCUGUGGAGGAGGACAUGUGGGUACCGGGGAAGACAUCAGAAGGGGCCAGUCGUAAAAGAUCCUGAGGCUCGUCUCAUAGGUUGGCAUGUGGCUGACGUGUAGGAGAGGCUGGAGCCCCGUAGGCAUCUGCCAAGACACGUGACAACUCUGGAGGCAUCCUCCGAGGGGACCCCCUCCACUGGAGAACCAUCUGAAGUCGUGGCAGGUUGUGGCAGGCGAGUGCAGGAAGAACAAGUAAAUUGCCCAACAACAUUCACAACUGUUAUAGAAGUUUAUGGAAUAUUGGCUUGAAGAAAACCAGUCUCAGCGAGUUAAAACCAGUUUUGACCAUAGUCUUGGUCAAAAUGAGUAAAAGUAAUGGGUAAUUGCCACAUUUGACACCUCGUUUUAUUGCCCCCUCCCUCUUUUUUCUUGCAUGAGCUCUGUCUUUCAUAGAGGAGCUAUUGUAAAAUUGGCAAACGCAACCCAGAACACACCCACAAAAGUAAGUUGCAAGAAGAAUUCUGAAUCCCAAUGGCUUACCUACGGUGAGAACCUGAAAUGGCCAGCUAUUCACAAAGGUGUAUACUGAAGUCUUAUUCUUCUCUCCCACACAAAGGAAGCUUGCAACGAUUUAUAAAUCUGCAGCUAGUAUCUUAGCAACAUCAUUGAGGAAACAGUACUCGGGAACCUUUCUAAAUAGCUUUCACUGAACAUAACUGUGGCUAGUUGUAAGAGAAAUGUUAAAGGCAAUUAAGUUCUUCAAAGUGCAACUGAUUAUUCUGUUUACUUAGGAGAAAUACUGUGUUUGGUUGGGGUGUUUUGCCCACAGUAUGAUAAAGGUCAGAUUUACAUGGUCACCCAUGUAAUGGUGUGAUGAUAAUGAUGAUACAUGGUCUAUCUAGUUACAAUUAAGUUGAACCUGAAUUAUUGCUUAACCCAGUCUAUGCAAAACUUUGUAUGUAAAGUAGUAAUUUGCUUCCAGAGAAGGAAAUACAAUGCUGGUGCUAGAAUCAGCUCUGUGCCUCAAAAGGCACCCAAGGAGGCUCUGCUGUUGCUUUGUCAGGGCAGUUUAUGAUGCUCAGGGGAUUUGUUUUAUUAUUGUUUAGUUCUGUACACUGCACACCAGGAGACAACAGGAAUAAUUUGUCUAAUUGGAAACAUACUUUUUAAUUUUGAGAAAUAACGUGUGGUUCAUAACCUAACUCCAAACCAACACCAUAGCUGCUUAUCGAAUGGGGAAAGUAUAUGGGGAUCAAUAUGUAGGGAGUAUAUUAAUAUAUGAGCAUUUCUAUGGGCAGACAAGGUUCCUUGGGUGAAUCUGGUAUCUUUUAUUAGACCAACCCAAAUAGUUGGAGAAUAGUUAUUAAGCAAGCUUUCGGGUUCAAAAACCCUUCGUCAGGCUAAGGAAGUUUCUGCAGUUGGUGUGUGCUCUUCCUGGAUGGAAUGAAAAGAAGUCAGAGGCUUCUUAAAAAGAUCUUCCCAGAGCCAUUCAUCCUAGCCUUCAGACAAGCACUAACCUCAUCACCAGAAGCAAACUUCCUCAAGCCCAGAACACACCAAAAGGAUCCAGACUGUGCCAUGACAAGAAAUGCAAAACCAGCCAACACAUCUCCACCACCCCCACUAUUACUACACCCUACCACAUAGCCAUCAGCAUUCCCAGAUCUUACAGCUGCACUUCCAGAAAUAUAAUAUACCUCAUCCAAUGCACCAAAUGCUCUGAUAGAAAAUAUGUAGGAGAGACCAAACAACAACUGCGCACCAGAAUGAACGCACACCGGAAAUCUGUCAAAGACAGAAAUACCCAAUUACCGGUGGGGGCACAUUUCUCAUGAGAAAACCACUCUCUCUCCAAUCUCUCAGUCCUGAUUCUCAAAGGAAACUUACACAACACUUCCCAGAGAUGAGCCUAUGAACUCCACUACAUCAACCUCCUGGAUACUAAAAAUCAUGUACUAAAUAUAGACAUUGGAUUUUUGAUACAUUAUCUGCCUGACAACUGACUCCCUGCUGGCUUCUUUACUUUUAAUUCCAUCCAGGAAGAGCGCACACCAACUGCUGAAACUUCC